AUGUGGCUAAAUCUGGUGUCCUUGCUAGUAGUUCUCAAAGGAGUCCAGCCUCAAGUCCAGUUGGUGGAAUCUGGAGGAGAUUUGAGAAGACCUGGAGAGUCCCUCCGUCUCUCCUGCCAAGCCUCUGGAUUCACCUUUAGUAGCUACUGGAUGGCUUGGCUUAGACAAGAUCCUGGCAAAGGGCUGGAAUGGGUAGCAUGGCUACGUCAUGAUGGAGGAGAAAUCUACUACUCAGAUAAAGUGAAGGGGCGCUUCACCAUCUCCAGGGACAAUGCUAAAAGCCAGCUGUAUCUGCAAAUGAACAGCCUCAAAGCUGAAGACACGGCAGUCUAUUACUGUGUGAGAGAAACACACAGUGAGAGGAAGUGA